rnacentral:misc_RNA from 1 species
GAAAUGCGAUAAGUAGUGUGAAUUGCAGAAUUCAGUGAAUCAUCGAAUCUUUGAACGCACAUUGCGCCCUUUGGUAUUCCUUAGGGCAUGCCUGUUCGAGCGUCAUCUAAACCUUCAAGCCCUGCUUGGUGUUGGGUGCCUGUCCCGCCUCCGCGCGCGGACUCACCUCAAAUCCAUUGGCGGCCCCCGCGUCGGCCACGAGCGCAGCAGAAACGCGAACUCGUGAGCCCGUCCGGGCGGCUCCCAGAAGCUACAUCCACCCAGUUUGACCUCGGAUCAGGUAGGGAUACCCGCUGAACUUAAGC